CAGUUGAGCAUGCUGUUGAGCAAGGACCAGAUGAAGACCUGGAGGCUGGAGAGACACAGAGGAAUGAAACUGAAGAGGUGAAACAGGGUGAGAAUAUUUCAGAACAGGAGAAAGGGAGGGUCAACAACGAGAAACCUGAAGUUACUGUUGCAACAGAAGAAGAAAAACAGACUGCCGUAGUUGUGAGCAUUGAACAAGGUGCAUCUCCAAUGCAUGACAAUGAAAACAAGAGCAUUUCUGUUACGAACACUGAUGAAAAGACACAUCUAAUGACUGUUUCUGUGCUGGCCGACUUAGUUGCAGCUCUGUGAGACACACAGGAAAUGGAGCUAUGGGUGUGCUGUUCAGGUCUAUGAUGUCACUUCCUGCAUGAUAGCUUGUUUGCAGACUCAUUAUGGUUUGCAAUGACUCUUACUGAAUUCUGAAAGUAGAUAAAAAUAAAAUAUGUUAAUGCAUGAACCUUUCUGUGUGAUUGUGUAUAUGGUUGUGCUCAGUGUGUCCGAGGUGACUCGAGUAUGAGAGCAGUGUUGUGGUUUACUCUGGGCUUCGCUGUGAUAAAAUUAGUUGUGUGGGGAGGGGGUGAAAAUCUGAGAGUACGAGUCUCUCGUGCGUGUGAAAGAUUGUGAUCUGGGAGUAAAACAGAGUUCAGAUUCUCUGCAGAUGCUCAGAAAUGAAGUGUUCCUCUAGACUCCUGUGUGGACUCCUCAUGUCAUGCCUUUGUUUCAGAGGUUCAUAUGAGGAGCUGACUGUGAUUCAGAGCCCAUCUAGUAUCACUGUGAAUGAAGGACAAUCUGAUCAAAUCAGCUGCUGCUGGAAUAAAACAAAAGAAGAAAACAAUGAUUUUAAAGUAGUUUGGUAUAAGGAUAAUGAAAGAAUACCGGUAGAAAAGCGGCUAAAUCAAACGUCCCCUAUGAAAAACUGCUCCUUUCUGAAAAUCAUAAAUAUAGGUAAAAAUGACACUGGAGAUUAUGUUUGUAAAGUGAUUCAGGACAUACCAGUUCUGCUAGAAUAUGAGGGACAAAAAACAUACCUGAAUGUCAGUAAAGGUGAACACAGGACUGAGGCAACAACUCAAAACAUCAUUGCAGGCAGUGCUAGUACAUCUUCCUACAAAACUCAAAGCAAUGGGACUACCGGCCCCCCUUCAACUCCCAUCCUGCCUCUAUCUCUGGGCCUGGCUGCUGCCAUCGGCCUGCUGACCCUCUGCUUGGCCUUCAGUGUGUGCAAGAUGAGAAACUCCUGUAAAAAAUCAGAGCGAGUGGUCAUUCACCAGACGCCACACAGUGAGGGUGAGGAGCAUGAGAACAUGGAAGAAGAGGAAGGUAGCACAGGCUCCUCUCGAGGAUCCCUACAAUGGGUAAGUCAGAUCCGACCUCAUGAGCAGUCGAAAUACUUGGUACAAGAUGGCAAAAUUGUAUGCGCCGAGUCAUGCAAAAACAAAUACGACCCUAACCUAAGUGUAUCUAUAAGGCCUUACCAUGUUUGUAACAGCAACUAUUUGUUCAACUAAGUUGUUUUCUUGGAUGUUUUGGGGAGACACAUUUUCAUGAAUGUGUUGGUUGGUUUCUAAAUACAUCCACAGCUCCAGAUGUUGGUGUUGACUCUGUUCAGAAUGGAAUACUAGCACGCAUACUGCAAAAUAUGUACGGUGUAUUAUUUUGUGAAAACUAUGUUUUGGUAUCACUUGGUAAUGUUACAUGUUCAGUCAAGUUCAUUUAAUUUCAGUGUCAUUUUCACAGUGGACAUUGUAAGCAGCAUUACAGAAAAAUGGUCUUAAAUUCUUAAGACUAAUUUCUUAGUUAAGUGAUUAGUAUGCAGUUAUAUCAUCUUGGAAAUACAUAGGGUUAUUUUGCAUUUUUAUUGUAACAAAUAAAAACUCUUCACUUUUAGCUAUUGUGUUGUUGAGUAUCAUGGCUGAUAUUUAUAAGUUAAUUUGUCACACUGGACUGAAGUGUGUCACAUUGCAUUGUGUAUCCCACACAGUCCCAGUUGGCACAUGAUUUACAUUUAAUGUUGAAAUGGUUGCAAUAAUGUCAGUUGUAGUUUCAAGAUUGAAAACCCAUUGAAAUAGCAUUUAAUGCGAAAUGGUUAAAAAAGGUUAUCAAAAUACUUAUAAGUCAGUCUGAAAUUCACUCAUCCGUGUUAAAACAAUGUCGCAAUAUCAACAUUAAUUCAACAAAACUGAACAGUGAUUCAACCUUGAUCCAUGACAUUGGUGCACCUGUGGAUAAACAUUGAAGUGUUCUUUUUUUGUAAUGUUGUAACAUUUUGGGAAAUGUAGUAGGUCAUUUGGGUAUUCAUACAGAAAUUUGCAUACUGCAAAUUACAAAACAGACUCUUUAUGACCCCUGACACAAAUCAACACUAAUGAAUUGCAAUACAGGGGACAAUAAAAUACACCAUCCCAAGUAGAUGCAAGUAGCCAGCUAGAGCCUAAAAACAUGUUUUUAUUCUGAAUUAGAAUCAAUUAAAAAUGGAUUGUUUUGCUUCCCAUGUUAUUGUAUGUCAUAAAGCACAACUUCUGAGCAACAUCUGCAAUUCCACUGUAAGAGCAUGCGACGAGAUCUCACUGAUGCGCUUGUGAGCCUCAUUCUGUAUCAAAUCUGCUCUUUUAUAUCACGUCUCUUUAAAUUCUCAAGGAUUCUGAUUAAAUUAUUCCAUACUGUAUAUUUCAAAUGAUAUGACUGUUUGAUUCUUGCUCUUUUUUUUUCUCUACAGUAUCAAGUGCCUGUUUACUGGUCUUACUUUGAUCUACGGAGGGGUGAAGACCAGUGACAACCAGAAAAGAAAGACAAUCGUGAUAUACUGUUCACUGCAUUGCAUUUAGCGUUCUCUCUCUUCUUUCAUGAGAACAUCUUUGUAAAUAGCAAAAGCAAUUUUAAUUUUCAGAUACAGUUUGAGCCCUUGAACUCUUGUUGAUGGUAACAGAUAUGAAUCCCUCUCUUUGUAGCAGCUAUGUUGAUAGGUUUAUUCUUAUUUUAAUUAUUAUUUUUAUAUGAGUCUUUUUUAAAUUAAAGUGAAGAAGUGUCAUACUGACAUGCAUGGUAAACUACUUGGAUUUCAUGCCCUGACAGAUGCAAUUCAAAUAUGUAUAAAAGUAGCACACACUGCCUGCCCUGAAGUUUUCUUUGUGUCUAACUGUGAAACGUUUUAUAGUAAAGACUUUUGUGCUGUACAGAUGCUGCCUAUGCCUUUCAGCCUUCUUAGAAAUGUUUCUCAGACUUCAUUCUGACACUUUCAUACUGUGGUUUUGUUUGCCAUUUACAAUAAAAGUCUGUGAAAACCAUUGACUGUGGUACUUGUGUCAGUACAUGUGAGACAGAAGAAAGUGAGGUAGAUGCUGAGCUGCAGGGUGGAAACUGUGAUGUUAUUGACAGGUCAAUGGCAGGAAAUGGAAAGUGCAGUGCAUCUGGUUUUCUUUGACCUUAUUUUCAACACGAUGCACCUGUGUGUACUUCUGUUGACCAACAAACAAAACAGCAAGUAAUACUGUAAGUAACAUUUAGACAUGUAGAAUAAAUACACCAGGUUAUUUCUUAUAUAGAAAAAUAAAACUUAUUAUGUCAGCAAAUGUCUUCAGAUUUUGACUAAAUCUAAAGAGAUGGCCAACCACAAGCGCACCAUCAAGCUGUACUGGUCUCCUUCAUGCUCUACCAUGACCUAGAUUUUUCUCUCACACACCUCAUACAUAAGAACUUGCACCAUCUGUGACACCGUGCACUUUUUUGACCACAAGAAUGUUUAAAGUAAUUCUUUAUAGACCGUAAAAUCUGUUGUCCAAAACACAUGAAUGACCAGAAUGUAUUUUGCUUUCUCAAACAUUUUUUGUGAUGGUGAUCUUGGUGUGAUUGGAUAUUUAGACUGAUAUUGUAUAGGUUUGCUUGUUCAAAUG
rnacentral:lncRNA from 1 species